CACACACACACACACACACACACUCUCACACACUCUGACACUCACACACACUCACACACACACACACACACACUCACACACACUCACACACACACACACACACACACUCACACACACACACACACACACACACACUCACCCCUCUCUCACACACACACACACACACACACCCCUCUCACACACACACACACACACACACACUCUCUCUCUCACACUCUCACACACUCUGACACACACACACACACUCACACACACACACACUCACACUCACACACACACACACACACACACACACACACACACACACACUCUCUCUCUCUCACACUCUCACGCACACACCUCCAUCCUGUUUGAUGACAUCACGUUCAGCUUUGUCAUCCAUCACCGCCUCCAUCUACGCUCGCAGCUGAUUGGCUGAGGAGAGGUGCGAUCAUGUGACCGAGUCUUCGGAGUGAAGCUGCUGAUGAAGAGGAGCCGACCCUCUGCGACCUUUGACCUCAACUAACUUUAGCUUCUUCUUUGACCUCCUUUAGUUCUUCUGGGGUUUGUUUGCACUUUAAAUUAGAUUGACCAACCAGCAGGUCUGUCUGCAGGUCUGUCUGACUGCAGGUCUGUCUGCAGGUCUGUCUGUCUGCAGGUCUGUCUGCAGGUCUGUCUGCAGGUCUGACUGCAGGUCUGUCUGCAGGUCUGUCUGCAGGUCUGUCUGCAGAUCCAGGUCUGUCUGCAGGUCUGUCUGCAGGUCUGUCUGCAGGUCUAACUGCAGGUCUGUGGAGGUUAAUGACACAUGAAGAAGAACAAACAUUACAGGAUGUUUGUGAGGUGAAGCUGGAUUAUGAACAUGAGCCCUCUUCUGAUUAGAGGACGUUAACUCUGGUCCCGAACUGUUUGCUCUGUGUGACCACUGCAGAGUUCAGCUGAUUUAUAACAGGAGAGGACGAGUUGAGACAUUUUCAACCCAUAAAUGUGGUUAUAAUCAGUUUCUUUGAUCACAUCAUCGGAGGAAAUAACCUUUUCUUUUAUAUUUGGAACAUUUCCACUCGUCUAACAUUUAAAUUAUAUUAAAUGUUUUAAAUUACAAAAGUCUAAAGAAAUAACAAGUUUCCCCCUGAUUCUAGCCUUCAUGCUAAGCUAGGCUAACUGCAUCCUGACUCCGGCUCUGCACUUAAAGGUUUCCUGUCGAGUUUUGACCUCUGGAGUCAUCACGGAGCCCGAUAACGCUCGCUAUUAAAGGCACAGAAGAAGAAAAUUUUAACUUUUUUUUUUUUCUGCAUGAAUUGAAAAUCUGACUUAAAAACAUUUGUUCAGAAACAAACUCUCAGAAAGAGAAAGACUGUCCCUUUAAUUCAGAGGUCCUGAUAAACCAGGAAGACAAACUUACUCUGAUCUCUGAUCCAGAGAAACUGUUUACAGCCGGACGACGUCUGAAAACCUGUAAAUACUUCAUCAUCAUCAUCAUCAUCAUCAUCAUCAUCAUCAUCAGCCACACCUGUCCUUGUGAUGUCAGGGAUGUGACGCGCUUUAUUUUGGCGGGCCAUGACCCGACGUGACCUCCGACACAGCUCCGCGGAGGUCGAGUCUUUAAGUGCCAAGAUGGACAAAAUGAACUCACCUGAACUCACCUGACUCCUCCUGCUGCAGGCCGCUCGGCGGGUCGUACCACGGUGGUGUGAUGUGGGGGGGGGGUGAAGGGACAGACAAUCACAGUCAAACAGGAAGUCUUCCGCCUGCAGCAAGGACUCUUCUAUGCCUCCUUCCUUUCUUUCUUCCUCUAACUACAAACUGAACUUGUUGCAUGCCGUCUUUAUUUGAGCGUUUUGUGUUUCGUCAGCAUGACGCUUCCAGUUUCUACUCGCAGGGUUACGUAAUUACCCAUAAUUCAACGUGUUUUUAUUGAACAGCUUCAUAACUUUAUGAGGACAAAGUUUCAGUUAUUGAAAAUAAAGUCAUCUUGUGAGUUAAAGACUCAUGAAAGAAAGUUGUAAUUUAACAAGUAAAAAGUCUUUCAGAAUAAAAUGACAAUAUUAGAAAGUUAUGGAAUAAAAUUAACAAACGUCGUGAAGAUACAAAAUAAAGUCACAAAUUUGAUGAAUCGUACAAUAAAAUUCAAUAUCAUGAGAACAUUUGAUUUUAAUCACUGAAGUAAAACAAUAUGAGAAUAAAGUUGUAUUUACAAUGAAGUAAUCACAAUACAUUAUUGUAGGUUAUUACUAUUAUAGUAAUUUUGAAAUGUCAUAAUGUGUCAAAAUAAGUUGUAAUGUUUCACCAAAAAGUCACAAUUUAAUUAUUAUAGUUAUAAUUUUAAAAGCUAAAGUUGUAAUAUGGGAAUUAAAGACGUGUUUUAAUAUUUUAAGAAUCUUUUUGUGUUUUCUCAUAAAAUUACAACUUUAUUCUUUUUACUUUAAUGACUUUAUUUUCAUGAUAUAGGAACAAAUAACAACUUUAUUCUCAAAAUUAGACGGGUUUAUUCUCAGAAUCACAUUUCACGAGAAAAAUAAAGCCAUAAAAACUGAGAAAAAGUGACAAUAUUAAUCAGUAUUACAGGUUUUAUUAUUGUUUAUUUUACAAGAAAGACUUGGAAUUAAUGUAUUAUUGUAAUAGAAAUAAUAAGACGUCAUCUGCAUAAAACUUUUUUCUUUUUAUUGCAACUUCAUCUCAAAAUAUUAUGAUUUUUAUUCUAAAAAUACGUCUUAAUUUGAUUAAGUUUAUAAAUGUUUUUCUACAAACAUGAUUUUCGUGAUAUUGAGACUUUUACUAAAAUUCAAAUUACAACUUUAUUCUCGUGAUAUUGACUUGUUUUAAAUCUUAAUUCAGUCGUAUAAUCGUCGCUACGUGUCUUAAUAAGUCUGAAGAAGAUUCAAUGAUUCAUUAAUUAUUAAUUUCCUGUCUCAGUGCCACAUGACCACAGUUUCUAAUCAUUUCCUGUUUUUCUCAUUUUGGCCAAAUGUUUUCAUGUUUAUUGAUUAAAAAAAAAUGAUUCCAGGUUAAAAACAAUAAAUAUCAGCUUUGUGACGUCGCAGCUGAUUAAUGUUAUUGAUUAUUUUCUGAUCUUCAGUCGCAGUUAAAGAUGUUUCAUCUCUGCUGUCAGAUCAUAAAACUACGACUUUAUCCAGGUUCUUUCAUCAUGUUUGUUUGUUUGUUUGUUGAGUUAAUGAAAAUGUGAGGACCAAGUAAACAACACAAAAUACACAAAAACCAAUAUGAAAGUUAACAUUCAGGAAUAAAAGGUAUUAAAAUACGUACAGAAAAGAUUUACAGCUUUUUAAAAGUUACAUUUUUGAAUAUUUAGUGGAAAACGUUUUGUUUGUAUGUACUUUUCUUCCAUUAUAGAUUAAUGUAUUGGUAACCAUCUCAGUAUUAUAACUCUUGUCACACAACUUUAUUCUCAUUAAGUUGUGACUUUUUGUUGUGACUUUUUCUCCGCAUCAUAUUAUUUUAUAUUCAAUGUGACACCAGAGCACAUUUUUAUUUAUUUUGAAGACGCCGUUAACGUCUCACCAGACUCCAUUCUAAAAUCUGCUGAUUUAAUGUUCUGUUACAAGUGGGGAAACGAUGUGUCUUAGAGCAAAAUAUAACAACUGCUAUUAAUCUUCAGUUAUUUCUGGUCAGUCUGGCUCCUUUGUCUUCGUUCACCACCAGACUCUGUUUAAAAAUCUGCUAAUUUUAUGUUUUUAGCUUCAACUUUGCAGAAAUGACCUUUCCAGUAAAUGUUUGAAGUCCAGAGAAGAAGUGUAGCUCUUCUUCCUCUCCAGGAUUUCACGCUGCAGUUGCACAUGUGCAGUAGAGGUAACGACGCAUUUUUAACUGCGACAGGAAGUCCUGCCCCCCCCCCACCCUCGCUCGUCUGUUUGCCUUACAAACUGUUUGCUGUGAAUCUUGUUCAACGUAAAUUGUAAAGAAGCUUCUAAAAGGAACAGAAACAUGUUAAUAAAUGUUAAUAAAGUGACUUAUUUCCUGUGCUGGAGGACCGACUCUAACUGUAGUGAUGAUAGUAGCUUUAGACUCAAACUGGGACUGAUGGUUGGAUCCCAGUUUAACAGCAUGCUCUCUCUCUUACUGCUCUCUGUAUUUUAACUGCAGCCGUCUGAAAUAAACUCCUCUCGUCACUUUCUGA